rnacentral:rRNA from 1 species
UACGUAGGGGGCAAGCGUUGUCCGGAAUCAUUGGGCGUAAAGAGCGUGUAGGCGGUCCGAUAAGUCCGCUCUGAAAGCCCGGGGCUCAACCCCGGGAGGCGGGCGGAUACUGUCGGGCUAGAGUCCGGAAGAGGCAAGUGGAAUUCCUGGUGUAGCGGUGAAAUGCGCAGAUAUCAGGAGGAACACCGAUGGCGAAGGCAGCUUGCUGGGACGGUACUGACGCUGAGACGCGAAAGCGUGGGGAGCGAACGGG